AGGCCACUGCUAUCGGAGUUCGAUUAAGCCAUGCGAGUCGAGAGGUGUAAGACCUCGGCAUACUGCUCAGUAACACGUGGACAACCUACCCUGAAGAGGGGGAUAACCCCGGGAAACUGGGGAUAAUACCCCCAUAGAUUAUGGAUGCUGGAAUGCUCUGUAGUUAAAAGGUCCGCCGCUUCAGGAUGGGUCUGCGGCCGAUUAGGUUGUUGUUGGGGUAACGGCCCAACAAGCCUGUAAUCGGUACGGGUUGUGGGAGCAAGAGCCCGGAGAUGGAUUCUGAGACACGAAUCCAGGCCCUACGGGGCGCAGCAGGCGCGAAAACUUUACAAUGCGAGAAAUCGUGAUAAGGGAACUCCGAGUGCCCGUAAAAUCGGGCUGUCCGCCAGUGUAAAUAACUGGUGAAGAAAGGGCCGGGCAAGACCGGUGCCAGCCGCCGCGGUAAUACCGGUGGCUCGAGUGGUGGCCACUAUUACUGGGCUUAAAGCGUUCGUAGCUGGUCUGUUAAGUCUCUGGGGAAAUCUACCGGCUUAACCGGUAGGCGUCUCAGGGAUACUGGCAGACUAGGGACCGGGAGAGGUGAGAGGUACUCCAGGGGUAGGAGUGAAAUCCUGUAAUCCUUGGGGGACCACCUGUGGCGAAGGCGUCUCACCAGAACGGCUCCGACAGUGAGGGACGAAAGCUGGGGGAGCAAACCGGAUUAGAUACCCGGGUAGUCCCAGCUGUAAACGAUGC
rnacentral:rRNA from 1 species